AUCAACGCUGGCGGCGGUGCCUAACACAUGCAAGUCGCACGAGAAAGGGUAGCAAUACCUGAGUACAGUGGCGCACGGGUGAGUAACACGUGAAUCAUCUACCUUCGAGUGGGGAAUAACUGAGAGAAAUCUUAGCUAAUACCGCAUAAUACCUACGGGUCAAAGCAGCAAUGCGCUUGAAGAGGAGUUCGCGGCAGAUUAGUUAGUUGGCGGGGUAAUGGCCCACCAAGACGAUGAUCUGUAUCCGGCCUGAGAGGGCGCACGGACACACUGGAACUGAAACACGGUCCAGACUCCUACGGGAGGCAGCAGUGGGGAAUUUUGCGCAAUGGGGGAAACCCUGACGCAGCAACGCCGCGUGGAGGAUGAAAUCCCUUGGGAUGUAAACUCCUUUCGAUAGGGAAGAUAAUGACGGUACCUAUAGAAGAAGCCCCGGCUAACUUCGUGCCAGCAGCCG
rnacentral:rRNA from 1 species